rnacentral:rRNA from 1 species
UACGAAGGGGGCUAGCGUUGCUCGGAAUCACUGGGCGUAAAGCGCACGUAGGCGGCUUGUUAAGUCAGGGGUGAAAUCCUGGAGCUCAACUCCAGAACUGCCUUUGAUACUGAGAGCUUGAGUUCGGGAGAGGUGAGUGGAACUGCGAGUGUAGAGGUGAAAUUCGUAGAUAUUCGCAAGAACACCAGUGGCGAAGGCGGCUCACUGGCCCGAUACUGACGCUGAGGUGCGAAAGCGUGGGGAGCAAACAGG